CAGCAGCCACGGUAAUACGUAGGUGGCAAGCGUUGUCCGGAAUUAUUGGACGUAAAGGGCUCGCAGGCGGUUUCUUAAGUCUGAUGUGAAAGCCCCCGGCUCAACCGGGGAGGGUCAUUGGAAACUGGGAAACUUGAGUGCAGAAGAGGAGAGUGGAAUUCCACGUGUAGCGGUGAAAUGCGUAGAGAUGUGGAGGAACACCAGUGGCGAAGGCGACUCUCUGGUCUGUAACUGACGCAGAGGAGCGAAAGCGUGGGGAGCGAACAGGAUUAGAUACCCCCGUAGUCCCUGUCUCUUAUAC
rnacentral:rRNA from 1 species